rnacentral:lncRNA from 1 species
AACUCUAGGGGUGGUCAUUGAAAUUUCUCAUACUUCUACCAGCUCCACGAUCCAGCACUUUUUUUAAGAAUUCCCGACCACUUUGUUAACCAGUUAUGUUAUUUUAAAAAUAAUUAAAAUUUUUAUUAAUAAAUAUAAUGUGCACUGUUGAUUAAAUCUAAUAGUUAAUAUUACUUACACUAUUGAUACUGUAAAAAAAUUAUAUCAUAGAGGGACCCCAAAAAAAAAUCUUAAUUAUAAAAUAAUUAUUAACUAAAAGAUGUUUGAUAGACUUUCGUAUAAUACCUAAUUUUUUUUAAAAAAAUCUUUAUUAAAGCCUUCUAAAAAAAUAAGACCAUAGUCCAUAGGCGAUCGUUCUGAUCACCUAUUCUUAAAGACUUAAACCACCCCUUUCCAACUAACGCAUGCCUUACACUUCAUUUAAUGUCCAACCGGUGGCUUAGUCAACCAUCAGGAAAAAUUGAAAAGAAAACAGUUCAAAUUCAUAAUUUCGUGAGUUGAAAAAAAUGGAAGUUCGUACCAUAAAUAUAAAAUAUUUCUGUAGCAAGAUUUUGCGGCCGUGGACACGACCACAUGAUAAAUGUUGAGGCUUCAAGACUAAUAUAUAUGGUCCAAACAAGUAGAGGGGAAAAAUGCGGCUUUUAAUAUUAAAUUCCAAGUCCUUAUCACAGUCUUCACAACAGUCCUCGCCAUCAUCGUGGUGCUAAAUACUUCAUUUAGCUUUUGGAUCCAAAAUCUUGACAUAAGCUGAUCAAAUGAUAGGUCUCUCUCAGCUCCGAGCAACAGUUAUAGAUUUAUAUGAAAUUAAUCAUUAUUCAUUAUUUGUACAUCUUAACCGUCCACUAUUCUACCUGAAUCUUCUUAUCAAGAUGUCACAAUUUUCACAACUCUUUUGGUGAUGUUGGAGCAUAAUUUCAAACCAAAGUGUGCUGCCAUGCCAAAAACGAAAAUGAUUCGUAAUCCAUUAUUAAGAAGGAAAAGGCUUAACAAAAACAAUUAAAAGCUUAGAUAGUGCAAUAAAGCUAAAUUUUAUAAGUAAUUACUUUUUUUAAAAAAAAUUUAAUUUUUUUUUAAGAGAGAGAGAGAGAUCUCCAAGUGAGUUUUUCUGGCAACUUCGCUUAUUGAGUCUUGCAAGACAGACAGAGGAAGGAAGGAUGGUCACAACAAGAGGGGUAGUGUGCAUAGGCUUGGCAAACACACGACUCACUAAAAUCAAAACAUAACAUAAUAUUUCUUAAUAGCAUCAGUUGAGUCACUACUAUUGAAGGGGUUAAUAUAUAGAAGGAAAAUGUCCUUUUUCUCUAGUUUCUCUCUGAUCAAAGUCUAAUUGGAGGUUAAAAUGUCUUUCGUAUAUAUUCCUUAUUAUGAGCUUAACUAAUAAAAGAAUUCUAUCAUCAAAUCAAAAGAAAAGCCCAUUUGAUCAAUUCUAUCAUCAAAUCAAAUCUUGGACCUUAAUCGCAUGUUUCAAAUGAAUUAUGCGAAGCUGUACGUAUGUAGUGUAGAUGAAAUUUUACUAGAACCAUGUAGGUGCUUGUAGAUCAUUUUUCAAACAAAGAUGCAGUCAUUAAUUGCUGCCACUGUCGCGAUCGAGCUGCUUAAUUUCAUGCCCAAAAAAAAAGUUAUUCAACAGAGAAAGCGGAUGGACUUUUAGCCAUUCAUGAACACAUUUAUGUCUAUUAUACGGCAGUUUCCCAAUUUUGGGAUAAGAGUAGGGGGUGAAUUACUCAUGGGGAGCAAUAAUAGGGUGUUUGUGGACUAAAUUCUGUUAAUACUAAUUCAUAUCCGAUUCAUUAUUUUAUAAAUUAUAAAUUUUUAAUUUAAUUUAAUCCACACAUUAGUGAAAUUUAAUCUAAAUUCAAUUUAUAUGUCUGUAGAUUGGAUGCAAAUUUAACCCAAUUUAUGUUUAAUCCACCAUUUUGUAGAUUGAUUUGUGAAUUAAAAUUUUUAAUUUUGUUCAACCUAUGGACUAAUUAAAUAAAAAAAAUAUAAACAUUAUU